rnacentral:lncRNA from 10 species
GCGGCUCUGGCCGCGGGCGGUGCUCACCCCCGGUUAUCCUCCACCGUCCCCGCAAGCCGUUUCCAGGCAGUAAUCCCGGGCGGGCGAGGUCCCCUGCGUGCCGGCGCGGCCCCGAGUGUGCCCUGACGCCCAGUGUGCUACUUCACUUACUCCGAACAGUCCUAUUGUUCCUCCCAGCAGAGCCAUUGAAAAGCCAUUUGCAAAAUAGCAGAGGGUUCCAGAUGGGAGGAGCCAUUGUUCAAAGUCCAGACCACCCAGCAGGCAUGUCAGGUAAUGGGCUUCACAUCUGACCCCUGUAGAAAUUUGAUAACACAUUAAGGGUGUUAUAUGAUUGGUCUGUGCCAUUGGGGAAAAUACCCUCCUUUUCCUUCCUGCUGACUUCUUUUUCCCCAUUAUCUUCCCUCUCCUCUUGUAGGACCACAAAUCCUCCUAAAAAUCUAUUCAAAAGAAGUUACUAGAUUAAGUUAAAGUUAAACUCAGUUAAAAAGAUAGUAAAUGUUGUUUUGCUGUCAAAUUUGUCUUUUGCAGCUCACAACAUGACCUGCUUAUGUGUUUGAUUUUCAGACCCGUAAGUCGUUAUCCCCAACGGAAGAAACAAUGGCAGAGAAAGGUAACUAUGUAGAGCAGCAAGCCCCUCAGAUUUAAUGUGCAUGCAAAUCAACUGGGGUUCCUGUUCAAAUGUUUCAGUAGGUCUGGAAGGGGCCCAAUAAUCUGCAUUUCUAGCAAGCAACCAGGGGAUGAGGAACUCUUUGAGUGGCAAGAAUGUGGAUUGGAUGUUGUUUAACUGCUUCUAUUUUGUAGCACAUCUGUCAAUUUGACUAAGCUAUAGAAAAUACAGGGUGACAAACUUUUCUCCUUAAAACUGAAUUCCUUAAUGCUUUGUUACAGAAAUAUAUGAGGAUAGAGCAUUGUUCAUUAUCCCUUUUUUUAAAAAAGGUUCUUUCUACUGAUGAUCAUUCAACCUUCAUUACCAUUUUUGUUGCUUUUCCGCUGUGAGCACAGGACACCUAUUCUCUAUCUGGAUCCAGUAUACUAAGCUAUAACCAUCUCUCCCAGGAAAUCAUGUGUUUGCUGGGAGUGAAUUUUCCAGAAGGCACCUUGGCCUCAUGACAUGGAAGGUCUGAUUCCAACUCUGCCAGUGAAGAACUGAGAGACCCUGGACAAGUUGUCUCGCCUUUCUGAUCAAUUGCUAUACCUAAAAUAGGUACACUGUGUGGGGGGAAGCGAUUAAAAUUUUUGAAAAAAUUUUAAUUUUUUGGUUUAUU